rnacentral:rRNA from 1 species
GAUGAACGCUGGCGGCGUGCUUAACACAUGCAAGUCGAACGGGACUUGUUAAGUUGAAACUUCGGUCGAUUCUUUUCAAGUCUAGUGGCGGACGGGUGAGUAACGCGUGGGUAACCUGCCUCGCACUGGGGGAUAACAGUUAGAAAUGGCUGCUAAUACCGCAUAAGCGCACAGGACCGCAUGGUCUGGUGUGAAAAACUCCGGUGGUAUAAGAUGGAUCCGCGUCUGAUUAGCUGGUUGGUGGGGUAACGGCCCACCAAGGCGACGAUCAAUAGCCGACCUGAGAGGGUGACCGGCCACAUUGGGACUGAGACACGGCCCAA